rnacentral:lncRNA from 1 species
CUCGAGCUCUCUAGCUGGCUCCUGGUUCCAUAAGACCAGACUAUUUGAUCUACCUUGUUUCAUCAUACGUUCUCAAUCAUUGGCUUUAAGAAGCCAUCUCAAAUGCACACUGAGGCUUCAAAGGAACUGUCAGCAGCCUGCGAGUUUUCCUUCCACAAGGGACAGAGGAGACAUUGAAACAUUCAGUCAACAGUGUUUGCCACUCAUGUAAUCCGUUCCAAAGAUGGCAGCAGUCUAUUAGGAAAAAAUCACUCAUCAGGAUAAAAAUGCCUGGUCUCUCCGAAUAGUCUCCCCUCCUCCGCUUCCUUCCCAGGAUAGUUCCCCGUGCCCCUCAAGGACGACUGGUCUCGACUGGACUCUUGGCGAAUGACAGCUCCUCCUGCUGCCAACAUCCAAGCUCAUCUGUGCCUCCAGCCAUGAAGAUCACUGCCCAUGGCAGUCUCCUCUUGCCAGCUCAGUCCUCAGCCAGCUCAUGGUCCUCUCAGCAGCUCUGUGUCUGCUCUGGGGGUGGGCCUGGGCCUUUUUCCCCCACCGUAUGCUCUGCACCUGUCAUGGCCACCAGCAUAGAAGUGAAUGAAUCCUUCAAAAUUCAGCUGAAAUAUUGAACUCUUCGCCAAUGUGUCCACCGUUUCCUCCUACUGCUUCCUCUGUGCUCUGGUAAGAAGAUCAUCUUGCUGCUACACGGAGCAUUUUUUGGCUUCUAUUCCAGCCCCUGCAUGCAUCUCAUCUCUCCUACGUUAUCAAUCCCACCUCUCCCCCACUGCCCAGGUGGGGGCUUCCCAAGGCCACCCUCAGAUCCUUGCCAUGUACAUGUUACGCUCAAUAAAUAUUAAAAUUAGUUGAAGUUGUGUUCUGUCUAAUUAACUAGAUUUCUAUUUUAAAGUAACACCAUGGGCAUUUCAUAAAAUAAUCAUAUGACAGAGAUGAGUAUAAGAUGAACAGUACAUCUCCACUCAG